AUUACGAUGAUUCACAUGCUCGGAUCAUGGUUUUGGAAAUCCUGCAAGAGGACGCUGAAAUCCCAGUCCCAAUUGAAGAGUGCAGAUAUGUUAGGGACGUGUACCAGAUGUUCCUUCCUUGGCCUAAACACUUAAUUUUAACAACCGAGGUAACUUCUCAACUGAAAUUAAUUUUUAAUGAUUAGUGGAGUUUGAAUAUCUUCAAUAUUCAUCCGUAGUGAAGUAGGUUCUGCGAAUAUAUGUGCUGCGGUGGGAUGGAUGAACAAACUACUGUUAUACAUGUGUUAUUUGUCGUUAUACAGCCAUGUUCAAAUUUUGGGGUCAUUCAAUUACAACCGUUAUGCUGCCGAAAUUUCGGUAGAAUUUAGAUAAAAUUUGAUAUAUAUAUAUAUUAUGUUCUGUUUUGUUUAGGGUCCACUCGCUCAACCGCCCUCAAGACGUGAUGCGUCAAAGGGGAAAGCUCCGAUGCUUUCUCCACAAGGCCGUGGUGCACGGGAAGAUGACUUGUUCACGGAAGAGAAGAUGGCGUUGAUCCCUAAUUCGCUAAAAUGGAUGAUUCAUGAAUUCCUAAGGCUCAAAGAUAAACGUGAUAUAAUCACAAUUUCUGUCCCCCGAGGAUUCAUUGCACCGCGUACCCAGAUCACGUUAUCUGGAGAGGAUUUGCAGCAGGUUGCUACGUGUAACUACAUCGGCAACCAGGGAAUGCUGUUUGGAAUGAUGCACAUAUGGGAGAGCAUCAACGGUCUGAGAAAAAUUUUCAAGUUUUACGACCCAGAGCUUCUCACAGUGCAUGGGAUCAACGAUGAAGAACAGAGUCAGUCUUUUGACGAUGCGGCAAGACGAUUGGCUAAUUGGUUAUCAUUAAUGAACAACAACCACCAAAUGUUCUUUAUUCCUUGGAAUAUCAGGUAAAUUUUAUUAAAUUCUUUAGUGCUAAUUGUUCAUUUUUAUAUUAUGUCUUCAAAUUAUUUUUAUACUAUCUUACUUAUAUUCCAAUAUAAUUUUCUAGGAUGCAUUGGACGCUAGUGGUGGUUGCGCCAAGGAAAAUUAUCCAUUUAAACCCUGUAAAAGGCCGCCCAAUUCCCGAAGAAAUAGAACAAAUGAUCGGAAGGGCAUUCAUGUAUAUAGGGGACGCACAUCAGUAUCUUGGCCCGUGGCAAGGAAUUUCACAAGCAAACUGUCCAAGACAACCUAAAAGCCAAGAAUGCGGUUUUUAUGUUUUGAAAUAUAUCACUGACAUCGUCGCACGUGCCAACCCCAACCGUUACAUACAAGAUCAAAAAGCUGUAAGU